ACCUAUGGCCAUACCACCCUGAGAAUGCCUGAUCUUGUCUGGUCUCAGAAGCUAAGCAGGGUUGGGCCUGGUUGGUACUUGGAUUGGAGACUGCCUGGGAGCACUACGUGCUGUAGGCU
rnacentral:rRNA from 1 species